rnacentral:rRNA from 1 species
GCUGGCGGCGUGCUUAACACAUGCAAGUCGAACGCGAACGUUUCCUUCGGGGAACUAGUAGAGUGGCGCACGGGUGAGUAACGCGUAAGUAAUCUACCCUCGCAUUCGGGAUAACCCACCGAAAGGUGUGCUAAUACCGGAUACGUCUCAUUUAAUAUCUUUUGAUGAGAGAAAGGUGGCCUCUUGAAUCAAAGCUACUGUGCGGGGAGGAGCUUGCGUACCAUUAGCUAGUUGGUAGGGUAACGGCUUACCAAGGCGAUGAUGGUUAGCGGGUCUGAGAGGAUGAUCCGCCACACUGGAACUGGAACACGGACCAGACUCCUACGGGAGGCAGCAGUGAGGAAUAUUGCGCAAUGGGGGCAACCCUGACGCAGCGACGCCGCGUGGAUGAUGAAGGCCUUCGGGUUGUAAAAUCCUGUCAGAUGGGAAGAAGUGUGUAUCACCCAAUACGUGAUACAUUUGACGGUACCAUCAAAGGAAGCACCGGCUAACUCCGUGCCAGCAGCCGCGGUAAUACGGAGGGUGCAAGCGUUGUUCGGAAUUACUGGGCGUAAAGCGCGCGUAGGCGGCUAGAUAAGUCAGAUGUGAAAGCCCGCGGCUCAACCGUGGAAGAGCAUUUGAAACUGUCUAGCUUGA